GGAAUAUAGCGAGACAGUGAAUACAAUGAAAUAUAUGGAAAACAACGGAAUACAUUGAAAUACAAUUAAAAAAAGACAAUAAAUACAAUGAAAUAUAUAUAAUACAACGAUAUAUAUUGAAAUAUAAUUAAAAAAGACAAUGAAUACAAUAAAAUACAUCGAGAUACACUUAAACAUAUUAACAGAAAAUUCAAGUUGCUACAAAAAAUUCAAGUUGCUCCGCUCCAACUCUUUUGUCUUUAUUCAAGAACAAACAUACUGUCGUCUCGUUGAUCAGUAUCCAGUCCUGGCUCGCCAUCACCGUUGCCUGCGAUUACCAACGAUUAGCACGUAAUUACCGGCGAAUUAAGGAAGAUUUUGUUGAUCUGAUAUGUUGCGUUAGAGAAUGAGAUUGGGAUGCUGAGGACGUCGGUAUCAAUGAAUAAAGGCGCAAAAUGGCAGAACUAGCCAAAAACACAACGUAAAGUCCAAUCUAGAUAAUAUACAAUAUUGACCUCUGCUGAGAGUGCAUCACCAUUCAUACAAAAUUGACUAUAAUCCAUCUAAGCAUUUUCUGAACACAAUGUUUAUCAUCUCUUUCAAAUUCCUGUUGGCCACUAUCUCAGUAUCUCCGAGAUCUAAAGCAGCCAAUUGGUGUUUCACCUGAUAAACAUCAAAUUCCUGCAAGCCACUAUCUUAGUAUCUCCGAGAUCUAAAGCUUUCAUUGAUGUUUUUGGUCGAAACAUUGCCGGCGGCAAUUGCCCUAGCGUCAGGGAGGAGAUGACAUCCGGAAGUAGAGAGAGGGAUAAUAGAUAUGAGCUAGGGAAUAAGAGAAAUUUGAGUGGAUAUGAGAGAGUACAAAAUUUAUUUUAUGGCUUAAGAGGAGAAGGUGAUUAUAAAUAGAUAUUUGACUAUAAAAACCAAAAGGUAGCUAUAAAAUAUAAUUUUUUAACAGGGUAUUUAUUUAAAAUAAAUAAGGUAUCAACAUUUGCUAUAUGAGGUAACUAUCCUAUUCUUAAUCGUCCAAUACUAGUAUACUUUCUU
rnacentral:lncRNA from 1 species